ensembl:lincRNA
UUCAGCUGAGUGGUGUCACUGAGCCAACACAAAGUGGGGCUCAUCCAGGGAUGAGAUUUUGCCAGAGAAAGGACGAGCAGCAAGUCAGGGAGCUUAAGGCAAUUAUUAGAAAGUGACUGUCUAAAAUUGCAUAGGUGGAAAGAGACAGAUUGGAUUUUUGUGUUUGGUAUUUGGGGGAAGAGGUGUGUGGGUAUGUACGUGAGAUGUGUUGUUCAUUCUCCUGAGAGAGAAAAUGGGGGGAUUAAAUGGACUGCAGUCCUGGACAAGGUGGAAAACUCUUAAAGUGGAAGUACUGGGGCAAGUGCUCCGACAGGCCGGGAUGGUGUAGUCAGUCCCUUCACCUGGAAAUCAGUAGAAUGUUAGCAGUCCAGACUCAAACUUUGUAAAAAACAGGUAGAGAAAAGGAAGUCCCUCACAGUAACCGGCACCAUAAUCAAGACAGAAUGUUUUCAGAAUAAAUUGAGUUAUCUGCUUUCAGCCCCAGGUGGUAGCUGUUCUCUGCCCUGAUGAUAUGUGAUAAUAAUUUGUGAUCCUCAUGUCUUAAAAUGGAGUCACUUAUCUCCAGUAGAAUUAAGUCUACAGUGAGGGGUUGUCCCCUCAUCCCCAAAGAGAUGAACACAUGAAUGGGCUGAGGUGAUAACAAUUAUUGCUGCCUGAGAUCAUGAGAGACCUGAAGUGAACUGAUAGGAAGUGAAAGGUGGCUGAGAACCAGAGAAUGGACCCAUCUGCAGAGGAUCAUAAAACCAGCAGAGACAAGAUCUUGUCUAAGAUGUGUUCAGAAGCUUUGUCCAUGAGAACUGCAAGGACUUAUUCACACCUGGUGGCUGCUGCUAUGAUCUCUGCCCCAAAGGAACAUCUGACCAGCAUCCAAAGGGCUUCUGGACCCACUGGAUUCCUCUGGAGGAGGCAAAGGAGGACCAAUGACUGGAAUAGCAAAGAACUCCAGGAUUCAUGAUGAACUAAUUGCUAGAGCAAAAAUAUACAAGAUCUCUCUAACUUAUAAUGGGGAAGGGGUAACAGAAGUUGGAUGAGACAAUACCCAAACGUGAUUUCCAGGUUUACUGAACCCAAACUGAACAAUGGAAGACUGUAGAUGACACCAUUAAGAUUUCUCAAGAAUAUGGAAGAUUAUUAUUCACUUCUGAUGGGACCUUGUAAGUCACCUGAAAAAAAUUCACAUGAAAAACAACUUUUACAAAAUGUCAAGUUAUGCUACAACAUUCACAUAAUAUAGAGUACAACCCUGAUCUCUUGGCUGUCAUAAAAUGUUUCUUACCUCUAAACCGAAGUUUCAUUUUAUAAUUUAAUUUUUUUUAUUUUUCCCGUCCUCUUAGCUUAAGAAAAGAUCAUUGCAGGCCGAGUGCGGUGGCUCACGCCUGUAAUCCCAGAAUUUUGUGAGGCUGAGGCAGGUAGAUCACCUGAGGUCAGGAGUUCGAGACCAGCCUGACCAACAUGGUGGAACCCUGUCUCUACUAAAAAUACCAGAACUAGCUGGGUGUGGUGGCAGAUGCCUGUAAUCCCAGCUACUGGGGAGGUUGAGGCAGGAGAAUCGCUUGAACCCAGGAGGUGGAGGUUGCAGUGAGCCAAGAUGGUGUACUCCAGCAUGGGUGAUAGAGUGAAACUCCAUCUAAAAACAAACAAACAAACAAACAAACAAAAAAAACCAACAACAACAACAAAAAAGAUCAUUGCAAACUUUUUGUGUGUUUUUCAUAUAUGCUUGCAGAGGGUUGUAAAAUUUUAUUGCAAUUAUUCGUGCUUUAAGCUGAAACUUUUCUAAUCUUUCUUUAGCAAUUGUGGAAUAGCAUGCUAUUUCCUUUCCAUAUUCAAUUGUUUCUUCUGUAUUUAUUACCCUAGCUAUAGGAUUCUGUCUUUUGAACCUCUCCUGCAGUUAGGUGUGGCCAUGUCACUAAAUUUUAAGCAAAUAAUUUGUAAGCAGUGUGCUAGGAGUACCUUCUAAAAAACCUUCUUCUUUUCUCCCUCAUUUUCAUUACAGUAGUCUGGAGUGAAGAUCCAAUAGCUGGAGGUCAGUAGUCAUCCUAUGUAAUGCAGGCAGGGGUGAUGGGCAGCACGGUCUUUUAAAUCCCUUACUGGAAGACAAAUUUCACAAGACCAAGAACCUUACGUUAGUCCAAGCAAUAUCCCAGCACUUACACACAGUGUGCAGCAUGUUUGCCGAGGGCUUAGGUAUUAAAUGGGUAUUGAAUGAAUAGAUGUAUUAAUUGGUUUACUCUGGAGUCAUAAGUAAACAAGGUCUGAGUUCAUUUCACAGAAUCAAACUCCCGAUUAAUUCAAAUCACACUGAUUUAAUUUGUUUCUCUUUGCUCUCUCAGACUUGCCAAUGUCAUGGGCGGAUAGGAGUUUUUCUUAAUUUACUUCAAUAUUGCAUUAAAUCAAAAUGUUUUAAAAUCUGUUUUUAUAACAGUGCUUCCCAGUAACUUCCUGUUUAGAAAGUUCAAAAUUCUUCCAUUUUUAAAGUCAUGGAUAUCUUUUUUAUUGUGUCUGUUGUUAAGUGCAGGAACUGUUUUGUAAUUUUAAAUAGACGUCAUCUCAAGUCUACAAGAAUUAUCCAAAGUGGGAUCUAAAGACCUUUCUAGGUUUUCAGACAC